GACGAACGCUGGCGGCGUGCUUAACACAUGCAAGUCGAACGGAAAGGCCCUGCUUUUGUGGGGUGCUCGAGUGGCGAACGGGUGAGUAACACGUGAGUAACCUGCCCUUGACUUUGGGAUAACUUCAGGAAACUGGGGCUAAUACUGGAUAGGAGCUCCUGCUGCAUGGUGGGGGUUGGAAAGUUUCGGCGGUUGGGGAUGGACUCGCGGCUUAUCAGCUUGUUGGUGGGGUAGUGGCUUACCAAGGCUUUGACGGGUAGCCGGCCUGAGAGGGUGACCGGCCACAUUGGGACUGAGAUACGGCCCAGACUCCUACGGGAGGCAGCAGUGGGGAAUAUUGCACAAUGGGCGGAAGCCUGAUGCAGCAACGCCGCGUGCGGGAUGACGGCCUUCGGGUUGUAAACCGCUUUCGCCUGUGACGAAGCGUGAGUGACGGUAAUGGGUAAAGAAGCACCGGCUAACUACGU
rnacentral:rRNA from 1 species